AUCAUAAUAUUAUAACUUAUCACCGCCUUGAGUUCGAGAUCGACUUUACUUGAGGUUUGUUGUAAUAGUGGCAAUAUUAAGUUUUUUUGAAAAAAUUUUAAAGAUAUAAUAAUUUAUUACAAAAAUAUAUCGAGUAAUUUUUUUUUUACGGUUAUCUAUAUUUAUUCAGUUAUAUACUGAUGUUUCCGUGAAAAAAUAAAGUACCUAGGUAGCACACAAUAUGCUUUU